GAUCUAGCCAUGGGCAGGUUGAAGGUUGGGUAACACUAACUGGAGGACCGAACCGACUAAUGUUGAAAAAUUAGCGGAUGACUUGUGGCUGGGGGUGAAAGGCCAAUCAAACCGGGAGAUAGCUGGUUCUCCCCGAAAGCUAUUUAGGUAGCGCCUCGUGAAUUCAUCUCCGGGGGUAGAGCACUGUUUCGGCAAGGGGGUCAUCCCGACUUACCAACCCGAUGCAAACUGCGAAUACCGGAGAAUGUUAUCACGGGAGACACACGGCGGGUGCUAACGUCCGUCGUGAAGAGGGAAACAACCCAGACCGCCAGCUAAGGUCCCAAAGUCAUGGUUAAGUGGGAAACGAUGUGGGAAGGCCCAGACAGCCAGGAUGUUGGCUUAGAAGCAGCCAUCAUUUAAAGAAAGCGUAAUAGCUCACUGGUCGAGUCGGCCUGCGCGGAAGAUGUAACGGGGCUAAACCAUGCACCGAAGCUGCGGCAGCGACGCUUAUGCGUUGUUGGGUAGGGGAGCGUUCUGUAAGCCUGUGAAGGUGUGCUGUGAGGCAUGCUGGAGGUAUCAGAAGUGCGAAUGCUGACAUAAGUAACGAUAAAGCGGGUGAAAAGCCCGCUCGCCGGAAGACCAAGGGUUCCUGUCCAACGUUAAUCGGGGCAGGGUGAGUCGACCCCUAAGGCGAGGCCGAAAGGCGUAGUCGAUGGGAAACAGGUUAAUAUUCCUGUACUUGGUGUUACUGCGAAGGGGGGACGGAGAAGGCUAUGUUGGCCGGGCGACGGUUGUCCCGGUUUAAGCGUGUAGGCUGGUUUUCCAGGCAAAUCCGGAAAACCAAGGCUGAGGCGUGAUGACGAGGCACUACGGUGCUGAAGCAACAAAUGCCCUGCUUCCAGGAAAAGCCUCUAAGCAUCAGGUAACAUCAAAUCGUACCCCAAACCGACACAGGUGGUCAGGUAGAGAAUACCAAGGCGCUUGAGAGAACUCGGGUGAAGGAACUAGGCAAAAUGGUGCCGUAACUUCGGGAGAAGGCACGCUGAUAUGUAGGUGAAGUCCCUUGCGGAUGGAGCUGAAAUCAGUCGAAGAUACCAGCUGGCUGCAACUGUUUAUUAAAAACACAGCACUGUGCAAACACGAAAGUGGACGUAUACGGUGUGACGCCUGCCCGGUGCCGGAAGGUUAAUUGAUGGGGUCAGCGCAAGCGAAGCUCUUGAUCGAAGCCCCGGUAAACGGCGGCCGUAACUAUAACGGUCCUAAGGUAGCGAAAUUCCUUGUCGGGUAAGUUCCGACCUGCACGAAUGGCGUAAUGAUGGCCAGGCUGUCUCCACCCGAGACUCAGUGAAAUUGAACUCGCUGUGAAGAUGCAGUGUACCCGCGGCAAGACGGAAAGACCCCGUGAACCUUUACUAUAGCUUGACACUGAACAUUGAGCCUUGAUGUGUAGGAUAGGUGGGAGGCUUAGAAGUGUGGACGCCAGUCUGCAUGGAGCCGACCUUGAAAUACCACCCUUUAAUGUUUGAUGUUCUAACGUUGACCCCUAAUCCGGGUUGCGGACAGUGUCUGGUGGGUAGUUUGACUGGGGCGGUCUCCUCCUAAAGAGUAACGGAGGAGCACGAAGGUUGGCUAAUCCUGGUCGGACAUCAGGAGGUUAGUGCAAUGGCAUAAGCCAGCUUGACUGCGAGCGUGACGGCGCGAGCAGGUGCGAAAGCAGGUCAUAGUGAUCCGGUGGUUCUGAAUGGAAGGGCCAUCGCUCAACGGAUAAAAGGUACUCCGGGGAUAACAGGCUGAUACCGCCCAAGAGUUCAUAUCGACGGCGGUGUUUGGCACCUCGAUGUCGGCUCAUCACAUCCUGGGGCUGAAGUAGGUCCCAAGGGUAUGGCUGUUCGCCAUUUAAAGUGGUACGCGAGCUGGGUUUAGAACGUCGUGAGACAGUUCGGUCCCUAUCUGCCGUGGGCGCUGGAGAACUGAGGGGGGCUGCUCCUAGUACGAGAGGACCGGAGUGGACGCAUCACUGGUGUUCGGGUUGUCAUGCCAAUGGCACUGCCCGGUAGCUAAAUGCGGAAGAGAUAAGUGCUGAAAGCAUCUAAGCACGAAACUUGCCCCGAGAUGAGUUCUCCCUGACCCCUUAAGAGUCCUGAAGGAACGUUGAAGACGACGACGUUGAUAGGCCGGGUGUGUAAGCGCAGCGAUGCGUUGAGCUAACCGGUACUAAUGAACCGUGAGGCUUAACCUU
rnacentral:rRNA from 1 species